UGGACAGUCUGGUUUGAGACCCUUCAUCGGGGCUCAACGGGAAAUGUAGCUUGCCCAUUUCCUCGUGGAUGCUGCCUGACCUGCUGUGCUCCUCCAGCAUUUUGUCACACUCCACAACAAAAUGGAAUAUCCAUACCCCAUGGGAUGCACAUUGAAAAGAAAACAAGGUAGAAAAUUGAAAAACAUGAUUUGUGUCUGAGGUUUCUCGGUUAAGUGUCCAACAAUAAUCAGCCAGACUGAUGGAUUCCAGUUGCCCUGAUCCCAUUUCUCCAUAACCGCAACGUCCUGGUGAAACCUUUCACUGUGCUCGUCACCGACAGCAGCAAGAUUUACAGGGACGAUG